CCAUGAUGAAAUGAAACCAACUAAGCUGGAAUUACCGGCAGACUUCUUGCUGUUGAGACGGUUCUUUCUGAGU